GACGUAGGAGGCGAGCGUUGUCCGGAUUCAUUGGGCGUAAAGAGCUCGUAGGUGGUUCGGUAAGUCGGAUGUGAAAUCUCCAGGCUCAACCUGGAGGGGUCAUUCGAUACUGCCGUGACUAGAGGUCGGUAGGGGAGUGUGGAAUUCCUGGUGGAGCGGUGAAAUGCGCAGAUAUCAGGAGGAACACCCGUAGCGAAGGCGGCACUCUGGGCCGAUACUGACACUGAGGAGCGAAAGCGUGGGGAGCGAACAGG
rnacentral:rRNA from 1 species